UACAGAGGGUGCGAGCGUUAAUCGGAAUUACUGGGCGUAAAGCGCGCGUAGGCGGCUUUUCAAGUCGAUUGUGAAAUCCCCGGGCUUAACCUGGGAACUGCAGUCGAGACUGUCUAGCUAGAGUAUGGGAGAGGGAAGUGGAAUUUCAGGUGUAGCGGUGAAAUGCGUAGAUACCUGAAGGAACAUCAGUGGCGAAAGCGACUUCCUGGACCAAUACUGACGCUCAUGUGCGAAAGCGUGGGGAGCAAACAGG
rnacentral:rRNA from 1 species